rnacentral:hammerhead_ribozyme from 1 species
AUCCAGCUGAAGAGUCCCGAAUAGGACGAAACGCGCAUCCUUGAU